rnacentral:misc_RNA from 1 species
GCUGAUUUGUUUUCUUCUAUCCAAAAUGUCUUGCAAGUUGCCAAGCACCAUGACCUUAUCCCCACUUGGCAUGCUAACAAUGACCUGAAAUAUGAAAAUGAAAAUGAAAAUUGUUUGUUAGUCUUUUUACUACUAUCUUUGACAUGAAUCCUUUGUCAAUUGUCUUCGAUUAAGAGAUCUUCUUUGUUUUUUCAUUUGGUCAUGAAAGUCCUUACAAAAAUGAGAGCAACUGAGGCAGAUUUGGUGAAGGGGUUCAAUGUGGGGACCUUAAAUGGGCAUGGGAUCAGUGUUUCUCACCUUUUCUUUGCUUACGACUUUCUGAUUUUUUACCAUUUUUGUGCUGAGUAAUUUUUUUUUUUUUUUUUUU